UGGUGAGCCUGCUGAGGGGCCCAGAGGGAGGGGCACGCAUAUGUCAUAAUGGGCAUUGAGGCAGGGGAUGAUGCGAGGGCUGGCGUGUGACAUAAAUAAUGGGGUAAGUCUGACCUUUGUCCAGUUACUCAUUUGGUCAAGAUGAGUAACUAGCCAAAGCUGUUUGGAGAAAUGACAAAAAAGCUGCCUCGGAUUUCUUCUUCUCGACCCCAGGCUCCACCUACGCACUCUAUUCCUGCCUCCUCUAGACCCCGGGCUCCACCUACCCACUCUAUUACUUCUUCCUCCCGACCCCGGGCUCCACCUACCCAGUCUAUUCCUUCCUCCUCCCGACCCCAGGCUCCACCUACCCAGUCUAUUCCUUCCUCCUCCCGACCCCGAGCUCCACCUACCCACUCCAUUACUUCUUCCUCUCGACCCCAGGCUACACCUACCCACUCCAUUCCUACCUCCUCCCAACCCCAGGCUCCACCUACGCACUCUAUUACUUCUUCCUCUGGACCCCAGGCUCCACCUACCCACUCCAUUCCUUCCUCCUCUCAACCCUGGGCUUCCUCUAUCUACACUAUUCCUUUCUCCUGUCAUUGUUCAAUCCUGUUUCCUCUUAUGCGUAACUCUUUUCGUCCACAGAACACCAGAUUCAGCCAGCUUCGGCCACCUCUCUCAACUCAGAAACCUAUCUCUUUCCCUCCUAUUCAUAGUGCUGUCCCUCCCUGCCGUCCUAACCUACAGGUUUCCCCACCCAAAUCUGGUUCUAUUCCUUCCAAAACGUCCAGCCCCCGCUCUUUUUUUCUCGCUCCUGUUCCCCGUUAUUCCAAUUCCUUCAUUGCUCCUACUCCCCCUUCCAGCCAUUCAGAGACUUGA
rnacentral:lncRNA from 12 species